rnacentral:rRNA from 1 species
UACAAGUACCGUGAGGGAAAGUUGCAAAAGAACUUUGAAGAGAGAGUUCAACAGGACGUGAAACCACUGACAGGCAAACGGGUGGAACCACGAAGUACUGCCUGGCCGGCGAUUCAGCUGUCAGCGGGCGUUUGUGUUGCUCGUAGCCUAGGGUCACCUUCGGGUGGCCAUGCGAGUGGCAUGUGCAACGUUCGCUGGCAGUGCAUUUUGACGGCCAGUGCUAAAGCCACGUCCGAUUAGGUGGCUGGAAUGGCCGUAGUGGGUGAUGUCAGGAAGGUGGCUGUCUGGCGCCUCGUGCACCAGUGCAGUGUUAUAGCCUGACGUCCGUGCCAUUGCCUAGCGUGCUGAUCGGUGAAAGAACUCCAUCUUCUGGAGUGUUGCCAGUAAAGGGUCGUCGCGCCUUCUGCUGCUAUGGCUGCUGUGCGGCUUUGCGCUUUUGUGUCUUCGGGCGCAACAAGACGGAGUCGUAUUGGCGGUCAUUGGCGGCAAUUGCGCGGGCGGCUUGUGCAAACGGUGGUGCGAGUAGGUCGGUCUCCACCCGACCCGUCUUGAAACACGGACCAAGGAGCCUAACACGUACGCAAGUCGCACGGUCUUGUUCAGGCCUGUGAGGCGCAAUGAAGAUAAACUGCUAUGAAGCUGCCUCUUGACGGGGGCAGCCACAGUAGCGGCCUGCCUACUUUCUCUACUCGGGGAUAUGGUGGAGCUGGAGCGUAUGCGUUGGUACCCGAAAGAUGGUGAACUAUGCCUGGGCAAGACGAAGCCAGAGGAAACUCUGGUGGAGGUCUGUAGCGAUUCUGACGUGCAAAUCGAUCGUCAGACCUGGGUAUAGGGGCGAAAGACUAAUCGAACCAUC